AGAGCAGCAGAUUUCUACAAUGAAGUUAACAUGAUAAGCAGUGUGGAACACAAAAAUCUAGUCAGAUUGUUGGGAUGUAGUUGUUCCGGACCUGAAAGCCUCCUUGUCUAUGAAUUCCUGCCUAACAAGAGCCUUGAUCGUUUCAUCUUCGAUCAAAACAAAGGCAAAACACUAACUUGGGAGAAGAGAUAUAACAUCAUUAUGGGGACAGCAGAAGGUUUAGUCUACCUUCAUGAAAACUCCAAGAUCAGGAUCAUUCACAGAGACAUAAAGGCCAGCAAUAUUUUAUUGGAUAGCAGGUUCCGUGCUAAAAUUGCCGAUUUUGGAUUGGCCAGGUCUU
rnacentral:misc_RNA from 1 species